AUUUUUCCACCCCGUCAAUAUGAUCAAUUCCCUUUUCACUAAGCUUAGUGUUCACUUCCCAUGUGGUGCGUUAUAUUUUUUUAAUUUUCUUUAUUUUUUUUAGAAUUAAUUUAAAAGUAUUGUACUUUUAUAUUAUUAUUGUAUUUGCUUUUCUCAAAUGGAUGGAAUUUAAUAUAUUUUCAUCAUGGGUUGGAUGAACUAAUGAAUCUUGUC
rnacentral:lncRNA from 1 species